UAUUUUAUGGUUUUAGUUUUCAUUUCAUUAUCGUUUUAGUUUUAGUUAGCUAUAAUAACCCAGGUUUAAAUAUAUUAAUAAUAUAAUAAGACAAAUAAUAUUAAAUAAUGCUUAAAUAUAAUAUAAAUUGAUAUUUAAAUAAUCUUGUUUUUUUAUUAGAUUUUUAUUUUUAUUUUUGAGAUUUAGGGAUGUUAAGAUAUUUGUGCUAAAGAACAACAAAAAUACAAAGAAAAUCUUUAUUUAUUUAUUUAUCUAUUUGCUAGAAAACAAGAUAUUAUUAAAGUAUUAGUCAAUUAAUGCUCCAUUCAUUGCAGUGAAAUUGCUGAUAUGAGGAGAUUAUGGUAAACUAGGGCUGUAACGGUGCACCAAGCAGAAAUUGGUUCGUAACUGAAUACAAACUCUUGUAACGAAUCAAUACAGUGUUAAAACCUUUUUACAGAUUUUUUAACGCAUUUUUUAACGUAUUCUUUCUAACGUAUAUUUCCAAAAAGCGAGCAUGUUCAGUUUGCUCAAGUGGUCAUGUGGAUGGAGCUCAGCGGUCAGAAUGAUCUCUGAUUAUUUUCUGGUUGUGUUAAUCACUCUGUAGAGAGCGGGGAUGACUUCUGCGCUGACAGACGCUGUGAUUACAGCAGGCAGCGUUUGCUCAUUUCUCAGUCUCUGCAGGCCGUUUGUUCACGCUGUGAAUGUGCUGCACUGAUGAAUAAUCGCUGGUCUGGAGCAAUUAUUCCAUGAUACGACGGAUACAGGGUCCAAAUCUUAUUCUUUCCAUUAUAUCUGUAUGCUUAAAACACAUCUUGUUAAGAACAAGAGAAGAAAACGUUCUCGUGGUGGUAGUAAUUAGAAGGAUGCAUUCUACAUUCACUAGAUGUUUUAAUGGGUAUUUAUUUAUUUAUUAAUAAUAAAUAAAUAGUUAUUUAUUAUUAAUAAAUAGUUUGUUUGUUUGUUUAACAUAUUUUACACAUAUUAUGACCAAUGGAACACAAAUACAGCUUUAUAAUAUAGCAAAUGUAUUUAUUAUUUAUUUUAUUUUUUUGCCAAAUGGUACACAACUGGUCCUAAAACUGAGAAUCUGUGAACCGUUACUUCCCUAGUAUUAAAAACUGGCAAAAACAAAUUAAUGAUGUAUUUUAGAUGUUUUAAAUACCUCCAGAAAUAAUAUAACUUUUUGGUUUGGUUUAGCUUUGGUUCAUGUUGAAAUUGUUUAAUAUAUAUAUAUCUGUAUAACCGUGGCAAAUAAUAUCUUAAGGGUUUUUAUGGAUCCAGGAUGCUACACUGGAAUGCUUAUUUUAAAGAAAACACUAUGUAUAAGACAUGAUAAAUAAUUAUAUAUUUUCUUUACAUUUUGCCUGUAUGUCAAGAAGCCAAGUAGCAAGAUACAUUGAAUUUGAACAUAUUUAAUCUGUUAUGUCAUCCACUCUGCUUUCUAUCCUUUCAUUUUAGUUUUUUAGCAUCUUGUUCAUUUAAUAGCAGUGUAGAGGUAUUUGAGCUGCAGAAUUGAUUGUAAAACUGAUUAUUUUCUGCCUCAUUCACACCGAGGAGACCCCGAUUACUGCAUGCUGCUUCCCCAAGCAAUACUAUUCACCCAUUUAUAGAAAAACUGCGUCAAAUAAUAUUAUAAACGCAAAAUAUAUAGAUGCUUAUAGUCUAUAGUUAAGUGUUCAAACCUAGAGAACAUUAGACAUAUUUAGCACUCCUAGCUGCUAAAGUGGUUUCUCUAAUAGUCUGCGUUCACACUCCACUUACUCUAAACCAGAUCGGAGACACGCUAGAAAAGACAUGUUUUUUUUUUUUAGUAGGCAAUGCAUGCAUGAAAUCUUGUAGCCUAAUAAUUGAAGAUGUGCUCAUUGCUUAACAGAUUCAAAACAUAUGUGCAUAAUAAUUUCCCCUCAAGCAGUCCUUUGGUAACGAACGCGUGUGCAUGUGCUAGCGCCGUCGAAACUUAUUCUAGAGACGUAAAAACACAUUUAUUAUGAGCACCGCGUGCAUGUUACACUGAUGGUGCUCCGGGACUCGAUCUUUGUAUUCUGUAUAGACACACAUGUAGUGAAUUUACUAAUAGAGAACUCACUGAUUAAGAAUAUGCUCGAUUCACAUUACUGUACACUAACAUAACACAAUAGUGAUUUUAUUCAUAGGCUAUCUGAAGAAAUGUUGGCUUGACAGAAACCCUGAAGCAAAUGCUGCCCUCUAGUGUGUAGUGGGACUUUAUUUUGAGUCCAGUCUCAUGAAAAUGCGUAUAAAUAGUAUGCCAAAUAAAAAAGAAAACGUGUUUUAUUGAUACGCUGACAUGGACAUUAGCGUGCAUAUACUGUAAUAUGCAGGUUUCUCGUACAUAAGAGACGCAUGUAUACCACACAACCCGAAACCUAGUCAUCACGUAGCAUAUGCACGCCAAAGUCCAUUUUUGCAUAUCAAUACCACGAGAUUUUGUUAAUUAUUAUAUUUCAUGAGACAGGGUUAUUAUUUUUGUAUGUUUUCUACAUGUAAACCUGCACCUGUUGAUGUUUCUUCUCCUUGUUAGCAGGCAAACACAUGCACUGAACAAAUGUUUUUUUUUUUGUGUGUGUGUGUGUGUGCACUGAAGGUUUUUAUUUUCUGAACGAAUAAAACUGACGAGAGUGCAUUUCAACAGGUCUGGACGGAGCAAAGGCGCGUGUGCAUGUGUAUUAAAUAUAUGAAUGUGUAGAUAUUGAGCUGAAUUUAUAUUUAAUAUAUCAAGAAACAGAGAAACUUUCACGCUUUUCUUUUUCUUAUAAAAUCUGAUGAUGAUCAAGGUGGUAUUAAAACUCUUAUAAGCAAUGUAAAUUUUAUGAAAAUGUAUGUUUUUUUUUUUCUUGUUGUUGUUUAUUCAUUUUCCCUCAAAUUGGAAUUCAAAUUUACGUAUCAGUAGUAGUUUUCUAUCCUUGCUUGAUACACUAUAAUAGUUAUUAUUUCUGCAUUAAUAUUUGCUUUUCGUAAUAAUUUUGUAUGUUAUUUUGUCUUAUAAGAGGGCUGCACACUGCUCGAGUGCUCCUGCUUCAUACUGUUCCUGAUUUCUGGCAGGAUUAUUAAUUAUUAUUAUUCAUUUUUAUUUAGUUUUGUGUCAAACAUGGCACUAUUAAUAUGCACUUUGCAUUUAUAUGUGUCUGUUCAAUUAUUGUUUGUUAACUCUGAUUGAUGCUGAAGCUGAAUGUUGGAGUGAAAAUUCAGAUUCUGUUCACCUUUCUAUGGCUUCAUUUCGUAGCGUUUGUAGAUGGCCCCAUCUCUGUCACAACCGUUGUGUUUAUUUCUUCAUAAAACUGCACUUUUGUACUGAAUCACAAGAUGAAUGCCUGAUAAUAGACAUGGCACGCCAACAACUGCUCCGUCAUUCAGUGUUCAGUGUCCCAUUUCACUAGUUCAAAUGUACAUAUAUAGGCUACAAAUACAAUCAAAAUAUAGAGAAACUUUAAAUGCAAAGUAUGUAAUAAAAGAAAUAAAGGCAAAUAUAAGGGCAUAUUGUCUGUGGUCAGUGAAGUUUUUCCAUGAAAUAAGAAACUGCAAAGAUGUGAAGUAAAGUUGAAACACACCAAACGGACUCUUUCUUUUCUUUAUUCUACAGAUGUUAUGUACGUGAGCAGGCUUCAAACUAUUUCCACUGCAAAAACAGUAGGCCUGAUAGAGUACGUGAAGCUGACGUCAUGCCUCGUUGAGUUCUGGGAAACUUCUUUAUGGUUUAUCUGCCAUACCAUGAGGAUCAUGUUUCCUAUCUGCUACUGAGUUUAGGAGAAGUUCGAUUUUCUGUCGUGAUGUCACCAGUGAAUGCCAUUCACGCUGCAUCAAGAAUUGCAAAAGUAAAUCAUCGGAUCAUCGUUGCGAGAGAAAACUGAAUAAUGUAAUGCAACACCAACAGAUGCAGGUCGUGGAGAUGACGAGAAGACGCUGGAUGGAAAAUGUAUUAAUAAUGUCACUGAUUAAACCCAUUGCCUAUCACUCAAUAAAGAAUCACAAUGUUGGGUGUUUUUGAAAGUUAUGAUUUAGUUUAGUUUAAAAAUUAACAUUACCUUUGCAAGUAUGACUCUCAUUCUGUUUGAGUUAGUAGAACGUGGACAUGCUCAGCAUGAAUAAUGUUUAAUUUGGCUUAAAGUCGGAAUUGUAAAGCAUGCAAAUCAUAGACUGUUGCAAAUACACAUAUGAGCAAAAAUUUAACGGAACAUGUUUCUUUGCACAUCAAGCGUUUACAUCUUAUAUAAAGAAAACAAACGUGUAAUGCACUGUGACAGAGAUGUUAAAAGACCACAUUCUGUGCACACUUUACUAAUAAAGCAUUUGUAAUGAAA